rnacentral:rRNA from 1 species
AGUGAACGCUGGCGGUAGGCCUAACACAUGCAAGUCGAACGGCAGCACAGUAAGAGCUUGCUCUUACUGGUGGCGGGUGGCGGACGGGUGAGGAAUACAUCGGCAUCUACUUUUUCGUGGGGGAUUACGUAAGGACACUUAUGCUAAUACAUCAUACUUCCUACGGGUUAGAUCAGGAGAUCUUCGCACUUUUCCUGUUUCAUUUAGCUGAAUCCGCGUUGCAUUAGCUAGUUGGUAAGGUAACGGCUAACCAAGGCUACGAUGCGUAGCCGAUCUGAGAGGAUGAUCAGCCACACUGGAACUGAGACACGGUCCAGACUCCUACGGGAGGCAGCAGUGGGGAAUAUUGGACAAUGGGCGAAAGCCUGAUGCAGCCAUACCGCGUGAGUGAAGAAGGCCUUCGGGUUGUAAAGCCCUUUUGUUGGGAAAGAAAAGCAGCAGGUUAAUACCCCGAUGUUCUGACGGUACCCAAAGAGUAAGCACCGGCUAACUUCGUG